UUCACUACUCAAUAUAUGGGGCAGCCCGACUAGGAUUGUACCGCGACCUUACAGAAGAUCAUAGCUUAAUAACACUGUUUUCAAGCAGUGCUGUGUUCCUGUUGGUGAA